rnacentral:rRNA from 1 species
UGUAGUAAUACAGAUUGAUGGCGACCGGCGCACGGGUGAGUAACGCGUAUGCAACUUACCUAUCAGAGGGGGAUAGCCCGGCGAAAGUCGGAUUAAUACCCCAUAAAACAGGGGUCCCGCAUGGGAAUAUUUGUUAAAGAUUCAUCGCUGAUAGAUAGGCAUGCGUUCCAUUAGGCAGUUGGCGGGGUAACGGCCCACCAAACCGACGAUGGAUAGGGGUUCUGAGAGGAAGGUCCCCCACAUUGGUACUGAGACACGGACCAAACUCCUACGGGAGGCAGCAGUGAGGAAUAUUGGUCAAUGGCCGAGAGGCUGAACCAGCCAAGUCGCGUGAAGGAAGAAGGAUCUAUGGUUUGUAAACUUCUUUUAUAGGGGAAUAAAGUGGAGGACGUGUCUUUUUUGUAUGUACCCUAUGAAUAAGCAUCGGCUAACUCCGUGCCAGCAGCCGCGGUAAUACGGAGGAUGCGAGCGUUAUCCGGAUUUAUUGGGUUUAAAGGGUGCGUAGGUGGUGAUUUAAGUCAGCGGUGAAAGUUUGUGGCUCAACCAUAAAAUUGCCGUUGAAACUGGGUUACUUGAGUGUGUUUGAGGUAGGCGGAAUGCGUGGUGUAGCGGUGAAAUGCAUAGAUAUCACGCAGAACUCCGAUUGCGAAGGCAGCUUACUAAACCAUAACUGACAAUGAAGCACGAAAGCGUGGGGAUCAAACAGGAUUAAAUACCCUGGUAGUCCACGCAGUAAACGAUGAUUACUAGGAGUUUGCGAUACAAUGUAAGCUCUACAGCGAAAGCGUUAAGUAAUCCACCUGGGGAGUACGCCGGCAACGGUGAAACUCAAAGGAAUUGACGGGGGCCCGCACAAGCGGAGGAACAUGUGGUUUAAUUCGAUGAUACGCGAGGAACCUUACCCGGGUUUGAACGUAGUCUGACCGGAGUGGAAACACUCUUUCUAGCAAUAGCAGAUUACGAGGUGCUGCAUGGUUGUCGUCAGCUCGUGCCGUGAGGUGUCGGCUUAAGUGCCAUAACGAGCGCAACCCUUAUCACUAGUUACUAACAGGUGAAGCUGAGGACUCUGGUGAGACUGCCAGCGUAAGCUGUGAGGAAGGUGGGGAUGACGUCAAAUCAGCACGGCCCUUACAUCCGGGGCGACACACGUGUUACAAUGGCAUGGACAAAGGGCAGCUACCUGGUGACAGGAUGCUAAUCUCCAAACCAUGUCUCAGUUCGGAUCGGAGUCUGCAACUCGACUCCGUGAAGCUGGAUUCGCUAGUAAUCGCGCAUCAGCCAUGGCGCGGUGAAUACGUUCCCGGGCCUUGCACACA